UACUGUUGAGUUAAACAGAGGCUACAGUUAAGGAUUUGCGCCCAGUAAGUCCUCCCUGGCCAGGAUACAAACCCACGACAAAGCGCUCGCGGAACGCCAGGCGAGUGUCUUACCACUGCACCACAAGACUAAAUAUUUCUGAUGCCUUAGUUUCUUGAAGAACAGUCCUUAGAAGAUAGCAAUAACAAAACAAUAGGAAUGCUAAUCAAAACCUGAACAUAUUAGUAUUCAUGUUUGCCUGUUUUUGAACUUUCAUUGUUCUUUAUUUGUACUGCUGCAGAUUGGCAUUCCGAAGACUUCCUUUUCUUCCCAUCAUUUGUAUUGUGCUCAGAAUAUUGGUCAUCUUCAGGAGUGUCUGAAGAAGUAUGACUCCAAGAUUGCUUUGAUUCCUGACAAAUUAUGAAAUAAAACACUUACAAAAAAAAUCAAAUGACCAAACAACAUUACAAAUCAACAUUUUAGAUCAAAAGCGAUCUGGACAUUACCAGUUCAGUCCUACUUUACUCCAAGUAUUUCAGCUCAGCCACUUGGACUAGACAAUAGAGCGACAAUCUCGCUUCUUGCAGGUCGGCAUUCAAUCCCUGACCAUCAGAGUGAUUGGGCACAUUUCAUCCCUCCAUCCUAUCUAAACCCUCAUCCUCAUACCCCUUCCAAGUGCUAUAUAGUCGUAAUGGCUUAGUGCUUUCUGCUGAUAAUUAUCUUACUCUAAGAAUAUUAUUAUUUUUAAGCCUAAUAAGUAGCAUUACCUUACACAAGAGAUCACAAAACCUCUAUAGGAAAUUCUUUAGUCAACAAAACAUGCAUCACUUCAAAAAUUCUUCAAAUCCUUACAGUUGUUAAUGAAAUUGGGGAAAUAUGCUACUCGAGCCCAUCUGAAGGGCAAAGAGUCUAAAAAGAUGACAUCAGUGGAUAUGAAAAAUAGAGACUAAAUUUAUGUUUAGAAAUAAGGUAACUUUUGUUUUUGAAGGAAAAUAGUGAUAGCAUUUGGUCAUUUUAUUUAUUUUACGUAGUUUACAUUCCUAUUGACAUCACAUGUAUUUUGCUUUUAUGUAUCUGAGGGCUACCAUCUCUAUUAGGAACAAGAGGGGCAUAGAAGCCAGCGGUUUGUCAAAGGUCCACCUUAUUAUUAUGCAAACUACAUUUCACAUCUUGGUGGAACUAGGAAAAAUAGAUCCCAAGCCUUCAUGCUGUGUGUAGGGCUUCAUCUAGUUAACUUAUGAGCAAGGAGAGAGAACAUGUAUUGUACAUUAUACUCCUAACUGACAAACUUUUAACCUCACCAAAACUGGGAUGUUGUCAGACGGGUGAUGAGCCAUCCUUUAAUCUGAUCUCUUUCUAAACACAUUGAAUCAUUGAGAAAAUACACUAGUGGCUGUGAGGUGACGGGAACCUGCAACCACGGCAUUGCCAGCCACAUUCUCUACUACUUGACCACCGCUGACGUGUAAAGUCAUUCAACUAGAUUGAAUCAUGCUCACAUUAUUAGGUAAUCCCCUAAAAUUAGAUUGUUUAUAUACAGGUAAUUAUUUCAGUCAGUUGUGUAAUUUUUAACCUUAUGUACAAAAUGUGUACUUUUCUGAAGUUUAUUUUGAUGUCAAAUUAGUUGAAAAAAUUACUGGAUAAUAAUUUGUAGUUGUAUGAGGACGAGGAUGUAAGAUAAUGAUAUUUACAAUGUGGUUAAUUGCUGUAUAUUGCAUAGUGUUUUAGGCUUGUUGCCUUCUUUGGUAACUACUUACGUGUUGUAUACGGUAAAAACAUAGUUAUACAAUUUUUCUGAGAGAUAGAAAUGGGGAGAAAGGUGGAGAGGAUGGGAAAUUGGGAGAAUGAGAUAUGUGAGAGGGGUGUGAAGGGGAGAUCAGAAUAUUGAGGGGGAGAACGGUAUAGAAUGGGGGAUAGGGAAAGAUAUUAGAGAGGGGGGGGGGAGGGAGAGAAGGGAAAGACCCGGGAACAGCCAGGUACCCCAUCUAGUAGACAAAACAAGAUUAUAGUAAACUUCCUAUUACUGUAUGAGGAUUAUUUGCUAACUCUUUAAAUCACUUGUGUCGAACUACCGUCCCAUUAGGUGAAGGUCUAUUUAGAAAAGUUGCUUGAAUCGAAAAUCACAGCCUUUCAUUACAUUUUGAAAACAGAUUAAUAAAGGAUUCACAACAUGGUUUUAAUAUGUGCCGCUUAUAUUUAACAAAAUACUUAUUUUUUUCAAGAAGACUUUUAAGCAGUUGACAACAGAAAGGAUUAUUACUAUAUUUUGACUUCAGCAAAGACUUCGAUAUACUGUGCCUCACGAAAGACGCCUUAGAAAAUAAAGAGUUGUGUUAC